rnacentral:lncRNA from 1 species
AUUCAUUUCUACAUGAAUAUGUUAUCAACAUGCAUUUCAUUCUAUGCAUUAUAUUUACAUGCAUCCUUCUAGUUUACAUGCGUAUAUAUAUAAUCUUUUAUAUACAUCUAUUUCAGCAUUUACAUCAUAUCAUGCAUUACUAGCAUUACAUUAUUAUCAUGCAUUACUAGCAUUAUGUAACUUGCACACUUUAACUCUAACUAGCUCUUUAUGGUAGUUUCAUAAGUUCAAUCUCAAUGCUAACCAAUACUCUGAUU